GACGAACGCUGGCGGCGUGCUUAACACAUGCAAGUCGAACGGAAAGGCCCUGCUUUUGUGGGGUGCUCGAGUGGCGAACGGGUGAGUAACACGUGAGUAACCUGCCCUUGACUUUGGGAUAACUUCAGGAAACUGGGGCUAAUAUCGGAUAGGAGCUCCUGCUGCAUGGUGGGGGUUGGAAAGUUUCGGCGGUUGGGGAUGGACUCGCGGCUUAUCAGCUUGUUGGUGGGGUAGUUGCUUACCAAGGCUUUGACGGGUAGCCGGCCUGGGAGGGUGACCGGCCACAUUGGGACUGAGGUGCGACCCAGACUCAUACGGGAGGCAGGAGUGGGAGUAUUGCACAAUGGGCGGGAGCCUGAUGCAGCGGCGCCGCGUGCGGGAUGACGGCCUUCGGGUUGUAAACCGCUUUCGCCUGUGACGAAGCGUGAGUGACGGUAAUGGGUAAAGAAGCACCGGCUAACUACGUG
rnacentral:rRNA from 1 species